GACGAACGCUGGCGGCGUGCCUAAUACAUGCAAGUAGAACGCACAGUUUAUACCGUAGCUUGCUACACCAUAAACUGUGAGUUGCGAACGGGUGAGUAACGCGUAGGUAACCUGCCUGGUAGCGGGGGAUAACUAUUGGAAACGAUAGCUAAUACCGCAUAAGAGUAGAUGUUGCAUGACAUUUACUUAAAAGGUGCAAUUGCAUCACUACCAGAUGGACCUGCGUUGUAUUAGCUAGUUGGUGGGGUAACGGCUCACCAAGGCGACGAUACAUAGCCGACCUGAGAGGGUGAUCGGCCACACUGGGACUGAGACACGGCCCAGACUCCUACGGGAGGCAGCAGUAGGGAAUCUUCGGCAAUGGACGGAAGUCUGACCGAGCAACGCCGCGUGAGUGAAGAAGGCUUUCGGAUCGUAAAGCUCUGUUGUAAGAGAAGAACGAGUGUGAGAGUGGAAAGUUCACG
rnacentral:rRNA from 1 species